AACGAACGCUGGCGGCAUGCCUAACACAUGCAAGUCGAACGAAAACUCCGGGUCCUUUGGCGUACGGGUGUGUCAGGGGAGGGAACCUGAACAUAGGUUUGGAAUAACUCCCCGAAAGGGGUGAUAACACCGGACAAGGGCUACUAACCAAAGAUAUAUUGCGUCUGGUUGGGCACGCGUUGGAUACGGUUGUUGGUACGGUAAAAGCUUACCACGGCGACGAUCCGUAGCUGGUUUGAGAGGAUGCUUAGCAACACUGAGAGUGAGACGCGGCCGGGACUCCUACGGGAGGCAGCAGUGGGGAAUGUUGGACAGUGGGCGAAGGGCUGAUGGAGCAAGGCCGGGUGAGUGAUGAAGGCCUUAGAGUUGUAAAGCGCUUGUACCCGUGAUGGUAAUGACGGUACCGGGAGAAUAAGCUCCGGCUAACUCCGUG
rnacentral:rRNA from 1 species